CAAAUUUGAAAUCUGGCACCUUCGGUGUCCGAGUUGUAAUUUGAAGAAGGUAACUUUGGAGUUGGCUCUUGUCUAUGUUCCUUGGAACAGGACGUCACAGAGGGUGAGAAUCCCGUGCGAUGAGAUGUCCAACUCUAUGUAAAGUGCUUUCGAAGAGUCGAGUUGUUUGGGAAUGCAGCUCUAAGUGGGUGGUAAAUUCCAUCUAAAGCUAAAUAUUGGCGAGAGACCGAUAGCGAACAAGUACAGUGAUGGAAAGAUGAAAAGAACUUUGAAAAGAGAGUGAAAAAGUACGUGAAAUUGUUGAAAGGGAAGGGUUUGAGAUCAGACUUGGUAUUUUGUAUGUCUUGCUUUCGGGUGGGGCCUCUGCAGUUUACUGGGCCAGCAUCGGUUUGGACGGUAGGAUAAUGACAUUGGAAUGUGGCACUACUUC
rnacentral:rRNA from 1 species